rnacentral:tRNA from 1 species
GCAGUAGUGGUCCAGUGGUAAGAUUUUUACCUUCUGUGUGGGAGUGAGGGACCUGGGUUCAAUUCCCAGCCAAUGCA